rnacentral:rRNA from 1 species
UACGUAGGGUGCGAGCGUUGUUCGGAAUUAUUGGGCGUAAAGAGCUCGUAGGCGGUUUGUCGCGUCGGCCGUGAAAACUUGGGGCUUAACUCCAAGCUUGCGGUCGAUACGGGCAGACUUGAGUUCGGCAGGGGAGACUGGAAUUCCUGGUGUAGCGGUGAAAUGCGCAGAUAUCAGGAGGAACACCGGUGGCGAAGGCGGGUCUCUGGGCCUUACCUGACGCUGAGGCGCGAAAGCUAGGGGAGCGAACAGG